rnacentral:tRNA from 1 species
GUGGUUGUGGCUCAAUGGUAGAGCACUCACCUAGCAUGUGUGAGGCCCUGGGUUCAAUCCUCAGCACUACA